rnacentral:tRNA from 4 species
GGAGGGAUACCAAAGCAGUCAAAUGGGGCGGGCUGUAAACCCGCUGGCUCCGGCCUUCGAAGGUGCGAAUCCUUCUCCCUCCACCA